rnacentral:SRP_RNA from 2 species
GCUGGGUGUGGUGGCACAUGCCUGUAAUCCCAGCUACUCGGGAGGCUGAGGCAGGAGACUCGCUUGAAGCUGGGAGGCGGAGCUUGCAGUGAGCAGAGAUCAUGCCACUGCACUCCAGCCUGGGCGACAGACUCCGUCUCAAAAAAAAAGAAGACAGAGUCUCACCCUGUUGCCUAGGCUGGAGUGCAGUGGCAUGAUCUCUGCUCACUGCAACCUCUGCCUCCCGGAUUCAAGCGAUUCUCAUGCCUCAG